rnacentral:rRNA from 1 species
AGAAUCAACGCUGGCGGCGUGCCUAACACAUGCAAGUCGAACGAGAAAGUGGAGCAAUCCAUGAGUAAAGUGGCGCACGGGUGAGUAACACGUGACUAACCUACCCUUGAGUGGGGGAUAACCUAGAGAAAUCUGGGCUAAUACCGCAUAAUACCUUCGGGUCAAAGGAGCAAUUCGCUUAAGGAGGGGGUCGCGGCCGAUUAGUUAGUUGGCGGGGUAAUGGCCCACCAAGACAGUGAUCGGUA